rnacentral:rRNA from 1 species
GCUUGUCUCAAAGAUUAAGCCAUGCAUGUCUAAGUAUAAGCAAACUUGUACUGUGAAACUGCGAAUGGCUCAUUAUAUCAGUUAUAGUCUACUCGAUAGUACCUUACUACUUGGAUAACCGUAGUAAUUCUAGAGCUAAUACAUGCAUAAAACCCUGACUUCUGGAAAGGGUGUACUUAUUAGAUGGAAACCAAUGCGGGGCAACCCGGAUACUGGUGAUUCAUAAUAAUUUUCGGAUCGAUCGUAGGAUCGAUGCAUCAUUCAAGUUUCUGCCCUAUCAGCUUUGGAUGGUAGGGUAUUGGCCUACCAUGGCAUUAACGGGUAACGGAGAAUUAGGGUUCGAUUCCGGAGAGGGAGCCUGAGAAAUGGCUACCACAUCCAAGGAAGGCAGCAGG